UGAGGAAUAUUGGACAAUGGAUGGAAAUCUGAUCCAGCCAUGCCGCGUGCAGGAAGACGGCCCUAUGGGUUGUAAACUGCUUUUGUAUGGGAGCAAUAAGGACUACGUGUAGUUUGAUGAGAGUACCAUACGAAUAAGCAUCGGCUAACUCCGUGCCAGCAGCCGCGGUAAUACGGAGGAUGCGAGCGUUAUCCGGCUUUAUUGGGUUUAACGGGUGCGUAGGCGGCGAUAUAAGUCAGUGGUGAAAUAUUUCGGCUUAACCGAGGGACUGCCAUUGAUACUGUGUUGCUAGAAUAUGGUUGCUGUGAGUGGAAUGUGUGGUGUAGCGGUGAAAUGCUUAGAUAUCACACAGAAUAUCGAUUGCGAAGGCAGCUCACAAAGCCAUUAUUGACGCUGAGGC
rnacentral:rRNA from 1 species